GGUGGGUGUGGGCUCGGGCUGGCAGGCGUGCGUUCCAGGACGCUGAGUUCCGCCUGGUUUGCGAUGAGACCCCCCGCGGAAGCGUUGAGGGGGAGAGCUGGGACAGCUGCGUGGGAGCGGGUCCCUCAAUGAAUCCCUCGUGGGCACGCCACACCCCCCCGAGGGCACGUGGGCGACGACUCACCCCGUGCCGAACGCUGCGUGGCGUAGACAAGGAUACGAGGGCUUAUCUACCAAAGACAUAACUCACAGUAUCUCAUACACUUCAAAUGGCACCUGAGCUGCAGCUGUACUGACUCUCAAAGGCAAACAAGCCCUUCGCUAAAACUGGAAGGUUAGGAAGAUGUGUGAACUUGCAGCAGCCUGCAUCUGAAUCUGGAGCCUUUAUCCACCAGAGCUUUGCAAACUUGUAAAAACUCCCCCUAGAACAAGCUGGCUGAUUCACAGGCUGAGGGUGGAUGCCUUUUCCCCUGCCAGAGCCAGCUCUUUCACAGCUCAGACGCAACUGGGCACCAGGUCCCCCCAGCCUGAGCUCGCUCAGCCACCAGUGCUGGUUGAGGUCUCUGAGAUGCCUCCACCAAGGCUCCUUUUGCCACAGCGCCCAUCCCCAGCACGUCCUGCCUGCGAACAGGCCUCCAGCCGGGCCCGUGGGUGACGCUGGGCCCGGCUAUGAAAGGCAAAGCUGUGCUUCUUGCAGGAGAGAGUGCGGCGGAGGACUCGGUAACCCACCAGUCAAGGAACCGACCUGCCACAGAAGAAUAAUGCUUAAAGCUGCAUUUACUUGCCUAAGACCACUUCAGGAUGUACCGCAUCUGUGUCCUAAAAUACCAGAAUUCUGAAUCAAACCUGAGCUAUGACCACAUCCACGCAGCCGGUGGACUUGGGGGGCUCGGCAGCGGUGGCAGGGCUGGUGCUGGCAGGCUGCUGCUGGCUGGUAUCUCGCACAACACGAGGUUCUCCAGGACUUAUUUAUGGCAGUAUUUGAAGUGCAAAGGAGUGUUAGUUGCAAGAUGGUGGACUCAGUUUAGCUUACUGACACCUUUGCUGGCCAGUCGAGCAAAGUUGAUUGGAAAAGUGUCGCUAAUAUUCAGCUGCCAAGUGUUCUAAAAAGAAAAAAAACCCUGUAUUUCCAACUAAAUAAUAAUAAAAGUGGGUUGAUUGAUAAA